UAAGGAAUCUUCCACAAUGGGCGAAAGCCUGAUGGAGCAACGCCGCGUGCAGGAUGAAGGCCCUCGGGUCGUAAACUGCUUUUAUGAGUGAAGAAUAUGACGGUAACUCAUGAAUAAGCACCGGCUAACUACGUGCCAGCAGCCGCGGUCAUACGUAGGGUGCAAGCAUUAUCCGGAGUGACUGGGCGUAAAGAGUUGCGUAGGCGGUUAGUAAAGCGAAUAGUGAAACCUGGUGGCUCAACCAUACAGACUAUUAUUCGAACUCACUAACUCGAGAGUGGUAGAGGUAACUGGAAUUUCUUGUGUAGGAGUGAAAUCCGUAGAUAUAAGAAGGAACACCAAUGGCGUAGGCAGGUUACUGGACCAUUUCUGACGCUAAGGCACGAAAGCGUGGGGAGCGAACC
rnacentral:rRNA from 1 species